GACGAACGCUGGCGGCGUGCCUAAUACAUGCAAGUCGAGCGCAGGAAACUGACGGAACUCUUCGGAGGGAAGGCAGUGGAAUGAGCGGCGGACGGGUGAGUAACACGUAAGGAACCUGCCUCAAGGAUUGGGAUAACUCCGAGAAAUCGGAGCUAAUACCGGAUAGUUCAUCGGACCGCAUGGUCCGUUGAUGAAAGGCGCUCCGGCGUCACCUUGAGAUGGCCUUGCGGUGCAUUGGCUAGUUGGUGGGGUAACGGCCCACCAAGGCGACGAUGCAUAGCCGGCCGGAGAGGGUGAUCGGCCACACUGGGACUGAGACACGGCCCAGACUCCUACGGGAGGCAGCAGUAGGGAAUCUUCCACAAUGGACGAAAGUCUGAUGGAGCAACGCCGCGUGAGUGAUGAAGGUUUUCGGAUCGUAAGACUCUGUUGUAAGGGAAGAACACGUACGAGAGGGAAUGCUCGUACCUUGACGGUACCUUACGAGAAAGCCACGGCUAACUACGUGCCAGCCGCCGCCGUAA
rnacentral:rRNA from 1 species